rnacentral:rRNA from 1 species
GAUGAACGCUGGCGGCGUGCCUAAUACAUGCAAGUCGAGCGAACAGACGAGGAGCUUGCUCCUCUGACGUUAGCGGCGGACGGGUGAGUAACACGUGGAUAACCUACCUAUAAGACUGGGAUAACUUCGGGAAACCGGAGCUAAUACCGGAUAAUAUAUUGAACCGCAUGGUUCAAUAGUGAAAGACGGUUUUGCUGUCACUUAUAGAUGGAUCCGCGCCGCAUUAGCUAGUUGGUAAGGUAACGGCUUACCAAGGCAACGAUGCGUAGCCGACCUGAGAGUGCGGUCGGAAAGACUAGAACCGAGACAGGGGGCAGACAACGACGGGAGGAAGAAGUGGGGAAUAUUCAGCAAUGGCCGAAUGUAGUAAGGAGCAACGAAGCGUGAGUAAUGAAGGUGUUAGGAUCUUAAAACGUUUGGAUGACGGAAGAACAAAAGGCUAAGGAACUAGGCACGCAAGCAGGGGAGGAAAUAAGAAAGACACGGCGAGAGACGUC